rnacentral:tRNA from 2 species
GAUAAAGUGGCUGAAGUAUUUAGGCAAUAAAUUGUAAAUUUAUUUAUGGUUAAUUACCCUUUAUCA